UGGGGAAUAUUGGACAAUGGGCGAAAGCCUGAUCCAGCCAUGCCGCGUGUGUGAAGAAGGUCUUCGGAUUGUAAAGCACUUUACGUUGGGAGGAAGGGCAGUAAGCGAAUACCUUGCUGUUUUGACGUUACCGACAGAAUAAGCACCGGCUAACUCUGUGCCAGCAGCCGCGGUAAUCCAGAGGGUGCAAGCGUUAAUCGGAAUUACUGGGCGUAAAGCGCGCGUAGGUGGUUCGUUAAGUUGAAUGUGAAAGCCCCGGGCUCAACCUGGGAACUGCAUCCAAAACUGGCGAGCUAGAGUAGGGCAGAGGGUGGUGGAAUUUCCUGUGUAGCGGUGAAAUGCGUAGAUAUAGGAAGGAACACCAGUGGCGAAGGCGACCACCUGGGCUCAUACUGACACUGAGGUGCGAAAGCGUGGGGAGCAAACAGG
rnacentral:rRNA from 1 species